GACGAACGCUGGCGGCGUGCCUAACACAUGCAAGUCGAGCGGGGAUUUAAGUGGAAGUUCUUCGGAAUGGAGAUUUAAAUUCUAGCGGCGGACGGGUGAGUAACGCGUGAACAAUCUGUCCCGGACAGGGGGAUAACACUUGGAAACAGGUGCUAAUACCGCAUAAGACCACGGCCUCGCAUGGGGCUGAGGUAAAAGGAGCAAUCCGGUUCGGGGUGAGUUCGCGUCCGAUUAGCUAGUUGGUGAGGUAACGGCCCACCAAGGCGACGAUCGGUAGCCGGCCUGAGAGGGUGAACGGCCACAUUGGAACUGAGAGACGGUCCAAACUCCUACGGGAGGCAGCAGUGGGGAAUAUUGGGAAAUGGGCGAAAGCCUGACCCAGCAACGCCGCGUGAGGGAAGAAGGUUUUCGGAUUGUAAACCUCUGUCCUAUGGGACGAAGGAAGUGACGGUACCAUAGGAGGAAGCCCCGGCUAACUACGUG
rnacentral:rRNA from 1 species